UACGAAGGGGGCUAGCGUUGCUCGGAUUGACUGGGCGUAAAGGGCGCGUAGGCGGUUUGUACAGUCAGGCGUGAAAUUCCUGGGCUCAACCUGGGGGCUGCGUUUGAUACGUGCAGACUUGAGUUCGGAAGAGGGUCGUGGAAUUCCCAGUGUAGAGGUGAAAUUCGUAGAUAUUGGGAAGAACACCGGUGGCGAAGGCGGCGACCUGGUCCGAUGCUGACGCUGAGGCGCGAAAGCGUGGGGAGCAAACAGG
rnacentral:rRNA from 1 species